rnacentral:rRNA from 1 species
AGGACGAACGCUGGCGGUGUGCUUCACACAUGCAAGUCGAACGGGGUAGCAAUACCCAGUGGCGGACGGGUGAGUAACGCGUAGGAAUCUGCCUUAAGAUGGGGGAUAGCAGACCGAAAGGUCUAUUAAUACCGCAUAUGUAUACAGCCCGACAGGGCAGUAUAUGAAAGGAGUAAUCCGUCUUUAGAUGAGCCUGCGUCCGAUUAGCUAGUUGGUAGGGUAAAAGCCUACCAAGGCGACGAUCGGUAGCUGGUCUGAGAGGAUGAUCAGCCACAAUGGGACUGAGACACGGCCCAUACUCCUACGGGAGGCAGCAGUGGGGGAAUUUUGUGCAAUGGGCGAAAGCCUGACACAGCGACACCGCGUGAGCGAAGAAGCCCUUUGGGGUGUAAAGCUCUGUCGGCUGGAACGAAAAAAAUGACGGUACCAGCAAAGGAAGACAUCGGCUAACUACGUGCCAGCAGCCGC